rnacentral:rRNA from 1 species
UGGGCGUAAGGGCUCGCAGGCGGUUUCUUAAGUCUGAUGUGAAAGCCCCCGGCUCAACCGGGGAGGGUCAUUGGAAACUGGGGAACUUGAGUGCAGAAGAGGAGAGUGGAAUUCCACGUGUAGCGGUGAAAUGCGUAGAGAUGUGGAGGAACACCAGUGGCGAAGGCGACUCUCUGGUCUGUAACUGACGCUGAGGAGCGAAAGCGUGGGGAGCGAACAGGAUUAGAUACCCUGGUAGUCCACGCCGUAAACGAUGAGUGCUAAGUGUUAGGGGGUUUCCGCCCCUUAGUGCUGCAGCUAACGCAUUAAGCACUCCGCCUGGGGAGUACGGUCGCAAGACUGAAACUCAAAGGAAUUGACGGGGGCCCGCACAAGCGGUGGAGCAUGUGGUUUAAUUCGAAGCAACGCGAAGAACCUUACCAGGUCUUGACAUCCUCUGACAAUCCUAGAGAUAGGACGUCCCCUUCGGGGGCAGAGUGACAGGUGGUGCAUGGUUGUCGUCAGCUCGUGUCGUGAGAUGUUGGGUUAAGUCCCGCAACG